rnacentral:rRNA from 1 species
CAGAGGUGGCAAGCGUUGUUCGGAAUUACUGGGCGUAAAGGGCGCGUAGGCGGCCUUCUAAGUCAGACGUGAAAUCCCCAGGCUUAACUUGGGAACUGCGUCUGAUACUGGAGGGCUCGAGUGCGGGAGAGGGAUGUGGAAUUCCAGGUGUAGCGGUGAAAUACGUAGAUAUCUGGAGGAACACCGGUGGCGAAGGCGGCAUCCUGGACCGACACUGACGCUGAGGCGCGAAAGCUAGGGGAGCAAACGGGAUUAGAUACCCCGGUAGUCCUAGCCCUAAACGAUGAGUGCUUGGUGUGGCGGGUAUCGAUCCCUGCCGUGCCGAAGCUAACGCAUUAAGCACUCCGCCUGGGGAGUACGGUCGCAAGGCUG